UCCUCGGUAGCUCAGCGGUAGAGCCCUCGACUGUUAAUCGAGUUGUCGCAGGUUCGAAUCCUGCCCGAGGAGCCA
rnacentral:tRNA from 6 species